CUACGGGCGGCACCAGUGGGGAAUAUUGGACAAUGGGGGAAACCCUGAUCCAGCAAUGCCGCGUGUGUGAAGAAGGCCUGCGGGUUGUAAAGCACUUUCGGUUGGGAGGACUGCUUCUAGCACUAAUAUUGUUGGAAGUUGACGUUACCUUCAGAAGAAGCACCGGCUAACUCCGUGCCAGCAUCCGCGGUAAUACGGAGGGUGCAAGCGUUAAUCGGAAUUACUGGGCGUAAAGCGCGCGUAGGCGGCUAGAUCAGUCGGGUGUGAAAGCCCAGGGCUUAACCUGGGAACUGCAUCCGAUACUGUCUAGCUUGAGUACAGGAGAGGAGAGUGGAAUUCCACAUGUAGCGGUGAAAUGCGUAGAUAUGUGGAGGAACACCAAUGGCGAAGGCAGCUCUCUGGCCUGAUACUGACGCUGAGGUGCGAAAGCGUGGGGAGCAAACAGGAUUAGAUACCCCGGUAGUC
rnacentral:rRNA from 1 species